CACUGGCCCUUUUACCGAGUACCUCUGCCAAUCGAUGCUCCUAGUGUUUGCCGAGGACUCCAAGCACUCCAGCCGACACCAUCAGCACUGCAGACUUAUCCCAUCCCCCAAGCAUGAGCCAAGGCUUCAAGAAAGGGUCAAGCAGGUCUGUUUAAUGAGCACACAAAAGCAACAGCACUCAUGCAGCAAAACAACUCCUCCUCAGAGGAAAACAAAAUGACAAUUAAAAAG